GACUCAGUUGCCCAAUGGUUAAGCGCUAGUCGGGGAGCCAGAGGGUCUUGGGUUCGAUCCCCGAUGGGGUCG
rnacentral:tRNA from 1 species